UAAUGCCCUACUACGCGAUUCUCAUGAAUUCAAGUAAGUCUCAUAAAUUGGAGGAGGUGGCUUCAACUAUAGAGGAGGCGGCAGCUUCAACUAUGGAGGGGAUAGCGGCUUCAACUUAAGCAAAGGAACAGGUGGCGGCUUGAGCAAAGGAGGAGGCGGCGGCUUAAGCAAAGGAAGAGGUGGCGGCUUGAGCAAAGGAGGAGGCGGCGGCUUUAAUAUUGAGGAAACGGCGGCUUGAGCAAAGGAGAAGGCGGCAGCUUCAACUCUUGAGGAAACGAUAGCUUGAGCAACGUCCUCGUUGCUAAGGUGUUAGUUAAAAAGUGAUGGGCUUAUACAAGAGUUCGUCUCCGGCCUUCUGAUGGAUGAGCAUUAAAUAAUCGUGCACGUGGAUUUACAGUUACAUUCGUUUAUAAGUCUCUGAAAUGGUAUGAGUAUAAACUUUAUGGCAUGGCAGAUGCCAAAGAAGACGGCGCCCGACGCGUAAGCAAGGCAAUCGGUGUCAAUGGCCCCCAAGGCACACGCACUGCCGGCAAUAACCACAACACCACCACCAUCAACAACAAUAACAACAAUAACAGGGGAAAAUUACAAAAUAAACGACAACAAAUUAAACGACGAAGGCGCCGAAGCAGCAGAUACCCUGUACUUGUGUGGGACUUAACGAACUACAUUUGAACUAUAACGAAAUAAUGCAAAUAAGUUUCUAGAACCGGUUUAGAGAAGCAUCUCUUUUAGCCAGGAAUUCCAAUUCCUUUAUCUAUCAUUCACCAAACCAUAAACCACAUUCGUGAGAUUCGGAACAGCCGAAUCUUCAACUGAACCGAACCACUUUUGACCAAAGAACAGCUCAAUAUAUAUGUAUUUUGCACUUUGGAUAUAUUUUGAAAGACCUUAAAGUAAUAAUAAAAAUAAUUAAAACAAUAAAGUCAAUAAAUUGAAAGUAUGUACAAAUAAUAAACAUAAUUUAUUAUAAAUUCAAUUCUUAUAUAGAAACCCAAAUUCGAACCCAGGCUCACAUAAAGUACUUAAAAUAUGGAACUAGUUCGAUCCGCGAACCGAACAAAAAUUACAUCUAUAAGACAAAAUC